rnacentral:piRNA from 1 species
UGCAAUGUCACUGGGUCCUUGAGAUGUCCU